GCUGUGGCUCAGUGGUAGAACACCUGCUUUGCAUGCAGAAGGUCCUGGCUUCAAUCCCCAGCAUCUCCA